UACGUAGGGUGCAAGCGUUUGUCCGGAAUUAUUGGGCGUAAAGAGCUCGUAGGCGGUUUGUCGCGUCUGCUGUGAAACCCGAGGCUCAACCUCGGGCCGCAGUGGGUACGGGCAGACUAGAGUGCGGUAGGGGAGAUUGGAAUUCCUGGUGUAGCGGUGGAAUGCGCAGAUAUCAGGAGGAACACCAAUGGCGAAGGCAGAUCUCUGGGCCGUAACUGACGCUGAGGAGCGAAAGCAUGGGGAGCGAACAGG
rnacentral:rRNA from 1 species